AGAGUUUGAUCCUGGCUCAGGACGAACGCUGGCGGCGCGCCUAACACAUGCAAGUCGAGCGGAGAUGUACGGAUGAAGUUUUCGGAUGGAUUCCAUACAUUUUAGCGGCGGACGGGUGAGUAACGCGUGAGUGACCUGCCUUCCACAGGGGGAUAACGUACCGAAAGGUACACUAAUACCGCAUGAGACCCCGGCACUGCCUGGUGCAGAGGUCAAAGGAGCAAUCCGGUGGAAGAUGGACUCGCGUCCGAUUAGAUAGUUGGUGGGGUAAUGGCCUACCAAGUCAGCGAUCGGUAGCCGACCUGAGAGGGUGAUCGGCCACACUGGAACUGAGAGACGGUCCAGACUCCUACGGGAGGCAGCAGUGGGGAAUAUUGGGCAAUGGGGGAAACCCUGACCCAGCGACGCCGCGUGAGGGAAGGAGGUUUUCGGAUUGUAAACCUCUGUUCUUGGUGAAGAGUGGAAGACGGUAACCAAGGAGGACGCCCCGGCUAACUACGUGCCAGCAGCCGCGGUAAUACGUAGGGGGCGAGCGUUGUCCGGAAUGAUUGGGCGUAAAGGGCGCGUAGGCGGCUGUUUAAGUCUGGAGUGGAAAUCCUAUUUUUAAGGUAGGAAUUGCUUUGGAAACUGACCAGCUUGAGUGCAGGAGAGGUCAUCCGAAUUCCCGGGGUAGCGGGGAAAUGGGUAAAGAUCGGGAAGGAACCCCCGUGGGCGAAGGGCGGGUGACUGGAACGGCUACUGGACCCUGAAGGCCCAAAAGGGGGGGGGGAAACA
rnacentral:rRNA from 1 species